rnacentral:rRNA from 1 species
AAUAGAUACCCGGGUAGUCCACGCCGUAAACGUUGGAUACUAGGUGUGGCGUCCCGAUCAACGGAUGCCGUGCCGAAGCUAACGCAUUAAGUAUCCCGCCUGGGGAGUACGGCCGCAAGGCUAAAACUCAAAGGAAUUGACGGGUCCCCGCACAAGCGGCGGAGCAUGCGGCUUAAUUCGAUGCAACCCGAAGAACCUUACCUGGGUUUGAAAUCAUGGGAAAAGCUGUAGAAAUACAGUGUCCGUAAGGGCCCAUGACAGGUGGUGCAUGGCUGUCGUCAGCUCGUGUCGUGAGAUGUUGGGUUAAGUCCCGCAACGAGCGCAACCCUUGUCCUAUGUUGCCAGCGGUUCGGCCGGGGACUCAUAGGAGACUGCCGGGGAUAACUCGGAGGAAGGUGAGGACGACGUCAAGUCAUCAUGCCCCUUAUAUCCAGGGCUGCACGCAUGCUACAAUGGUCGGUACAACGGGCAGCGACCCCGCGAGGGUGAGCGAAUCCCACAAACGCCGGCCUCAGUUCGGAUUGGAGUCUGCAACUCGACU